rnacentral:lncRNA from 1 species
GGUAUUCCAGGAGAGCGCAUGCGCAGACGCAUGGCCACAGACUGCCGGUCAGUGUCAGCAGGCGGUGGGUUAGGGUCCGCAGGCCCAGACCAGGCCGCCGACACCAAUAAGCUACAAGGAGGAGCUUUACCGCUGCCUGUACUACUACUGCCUGCGCUACUUCCCAGCCUGCGGCGUAGGGCGCAGCAAGGGCCUGACGCUUAGCGAGCAGGCGCUGCGCACCAAGCGGCUGUCGCCUGGAGGGCACGUUCAGGCAGAAGCUCCUCAGUGGCCACAAGUCCGCUAGCUCCGGCUACAGCCCUUGCCGCACACUCGCGUCACCUGAGCCUGUGAUGCCGAAGGACCUGUUCAAAGUAUUUUCUGUAACUCCAACUGUAACUUGGUUCUAGGAGGAGAGAAUCCAUGUUUGGUCAACAGAACUUUUCGCCGCCACUUAAGUUUACUGCUUCAAUAUCUUUUCCUUACUAAUUGAUUGUUAAUUAAGUAGUGUCCAAGUGAGUUAGCCUUUUUAGGGUUGAUUAAUUAAAAGAGCAGCAAGAAUGGCAUUUUAAAAAAAAAA